GUGGGGAAUUUUGCACAAUGGGGGAAACCCUGAUGCAGCGACGCCGCGUGGAGGAUGAAGGCCUUCGGGUUGUAAACUCCUUUUGUAGGGGAAAAUAAUGAUGGUACCCUAUGAAUAAGCCACGGCUAACUCUGUGCCAGCAGCCGCGGUAAGACAGAGGUGGCGAGCGUUGUUCGGAAUUACUGGGCUUAAAGGGCGAGUAGGCGGUGGGACAAGUCUGAUGUGGAAUCCUAAGGCUUAACCAUAGAACUGCAUUAGAAACUGUUUUACUUGAGUCAGUGAGGGGAGGGCGGAAUUCCUGGUGUAGCGGUGAAAUGCGUAGAUAUCAGGAGGAAGGCCGGUGGCGAAGGCGGCCCUCUGGCACUGUACUGACGCUGAGGCGCGAAAGCGUGGGGAGCAAACAGGAUUAGAAACCCUAGUAGUCC
rnacentral:rRNA from 1 species